GGGUGCGUAACACGUGAACAAUCUACCUUAAAGUGGGGAAUAGCUCGCCGAAAGGCGAAUUAAUACCGCAUACGGUUGGGACUCGCAUGAGGCCCAUACCAAAGUCGGGGACCGCAAGGCCUGACGCUAUAAGAGGAGUUCGCGGCCUAUCAGCUAGUUGGCGAGGUAACGGCUCACCAAGGCUAAGACGGGUAGCUGGUCUGAGAGGAUGAUCAGCCACACUGGAACUGAGACACGGUCCAGACACC
rnacentral:rRNA from 1 species